rnacentral:lncRNA from 1 species
GUUUCCUUAACCAGAAGCUGAUGUCCAAAAGUUCUAAAACCAAGGAAGAUAUAGCCCCAUUCAUCUACUGCUGAAAUAGAUACAGAUAAAAUUAACGGUCCUUUUAAGGACCAUCAAAAUCUUUAAAAGGGAGUCUUAAAAUUGUUGUACACUUCAGUUUAAAUUGCUGUUAUAAAGCUAUAUUAUAGCCCUACCCCUUAAAUAUCUUCCAAAAAAUGUAAAAUUAGAGAGCCCCUGGCAAGUGUUUCUGAGUUUACACAAUAAUAUGUGGCUUAUGUGUGUGAUGCGGCUCUAAAUAAAUGUGAGCUGGAUUCGCACACAACUUUCAUGACUGAACCGUGGCACUUAAAUGAUUUAUUUAAUAGCCACAAUUUAUCAAAAACUUAUUAAAAGACCUAAAACUGAAACUAUGGAUUUCUUUUCUUUUUUUCCAGGUCCCAGAAAUAAGAUACUAGAAAGAAAUAAGCCCAUAUUUUCCAUCUUUCACUGUCCCCUGAUCCCAUAUAACACAUUUAUUAUUUCUUUCCCUGUGACUUUUUCUAAUACUGUUUGCUGAUAUUUUUCAAAAAUCCCUCCAUUUUAACUUACAAGUGUAGGAAUACAUAUUACAGACAAAAUGACCUUUCUGUGACCCCCUUUUAAACUUUAAAUUGAAAAACAAACUUUUUUAAAUUUCAUAAAUUUAAAUUUCAAUUUAAUUUAAAAAGUUUAAUUCAAAUUUUAAAAAUAAUUACACCAUUGUUUUCCUUAUUAAAUUUUGAAGCCUGUAGCCAAAUUUCAUCCAUGAAACUUCAAAAAUGAGCUGACAAUUGCAGAUUAAAAUGUUCAAAACAUGCUCUCUGACAGGAACGGGGACCCAAUUAUUUGCCCCAUUGGAACGCAUUGAAAAUCAUAGUAAAUACAUAGGGUCCUGUUCAAUAAAUAAUUUUGAUAGCCACCUUGGGACUUCUGGUUCAUGUUAGGCAUUCAUUUUGAAGUGUCUAAGUACAAUCUCAGUGCCUCAUGACCGGCAUUCCGUUGCAAAAUUUUGUUUUUAUUGACAACAGGGUCAGUCUGUCUACUUCCGGGAAAGAAUAAAGGCUAGAAUUUAGGCAAUUUACUCUAUGUACUGACGCCAGAUUACAUUUAAAUCAAUCAAAAUUUUUACAGAAAUUCAAACUAGAAAGCCUACCCUUUCAAAUAAAACUACAUUCAGUUACAGAACUAGUGAAAUAAUAACACUACACAAUUUAUAACAAAAGUUAUAUAUUUUUUUUAAGAACUACAUUCGUGGGUACCGGACUGGUUGCCCUAACUGGGAUCCUAUUCCUGUCAGACUUUAUUUUUUUUCCCAGACUUAAAACUGCACUUUUAAAAUAAAGAUAUACAUCUCAGUAGUUAUUGUGCAAAGUUUCAAAAAAUUUGAUCAAACAGUUACAGAAUUAUAGAUCCUUAUCUAUAACAUCUCAAAUACCAGAAAAUUGAUCGGAGAAAAUCUUAAAUUCAUGAAGAAAAUAUGCUAAAAAUCAGCAAAACUUUUUUAUUUCAAGAGAUAUUUACAUUCUGUAAAUUGCAUAAGGUAGACAAAUUCAUUCUUUGUAUGGAAAUCUAGUUGAAACCAAAAUUUGUUUAAAAAUAAAUUAAAAAUAUUAUUUUUUUCAAUUAAAAUUAAAAAAUCUUCUGUUUUAAAAAAGAAUUAUGCAAAAAACAAGCAAUACCCCAUAAACAUGUUUUUUUAAACAUGUAAUAAGUUCAAUAUUAAAGACAGAAUCCAAAAAAUGUCUUCAAAUAGUCUGCUAAGUUCUAUUUAACUUUAAUUUAUUUAAUCAAUAUAAGACUUUAAAUUUAAAAAAAGAUAAAAAUGCUAGAAGUGCAGAUCAGAAGUUCAAUCAAAACUUAAAAGUAAGUUCUAAAACCAGAAAAAAACAAAUCAAACAAGCAAAAGAAAAAUCCUAACUAUUUCAGUUCAAUACAUUGAUAAAAUUGCAGAUUUUAAUAUGGAAAUCAGCUUGAAAUCUUUAAUUUUAAAAAAAAAAAUCUUCUGUUUUAAAGAAUUACAUAUGCAAAACAAGCAUACCCCAUAACAAUGGUAUAAAAUAUGAGACAAAGUCUUCAAAUAGUCUGCUAAGUUCAUUUAAAAUACAAUAUAAGAGGCUAGAUGCAGAGAAGUUCUCACUUGUAGCUAAAACCAGUCAAACAGCACCUCCUAUAGUUUAACAGAUGUGAAGGGAAAUCCUUGAUCUUCCUGACCGCUUAACGCUACUGUGCGUUGUUGUACUUUUGACUGCUCUAAAUGUCCCACUAGUUCAUAUGUGUGUUCUCUUGGACACUGAAACUGUUGGUGGCUGGGAUCCAUGUACUUUAGUCCAAGUUCACCAACCUGAAUAUAGAUAACAAAGACAAGUUAAUAAUGCAGGAACUUUUAAAAAUGAAACUUAGGAAAGAAGCAUUAAUUAAAAUGAAAUUCAAACAGUGAAACUAUUAAAAGAGCACUAAGUGUUUCCUUAACCAGAAGCAGAUCUCCAAAAGUUCCAAAACCAAGGAAGAUAUAGCUCCCAUUCAUUUACUGCUGAAAUAGAUACAGAUAAAAUUAACGGUCCUUUUAAGGACCAUCAAAAUCUUUAAAAGGGAGUCUUAAAUUGUUGUACAUUGAGUUUAAAUUGCUUGUAUAAGCUAUAUUAUAGCCCUACCCCUUAAAUAUCUUCCAAAAAAUGUAAAAUUAGAGAGCCCCUGGCAAGUGUUUCUGAGUUCACACAAUAAUAUGUGGCUAUGUAUGUGAUGCGGCUCUAAAUAAAUGUUAGCUGGAUUCGCACACAACUUUCAUAACUGAACCGUGGCACUUAAAUGAUUUAUUUAAUAGCCACAAUUUAUCAAAAACUUAUUAAAAACCUAAAACUGAAACUAUGGGUUUAUUUUCUGUUUCCAGGUCCCAGAAAUAAGAUAUUAGAAAGAAAUAAGCCCAUAUUUUCCAUCUUUCACUGUCCCCUGAUCCCAUAUAACACAUUUAUUAUUUCUUUCCCUGUGACUUUUUCUAAUACUAUUUGCUGAUAUUUUUCAAAAAUCCCUCCAUUUUAACUUGCAAGUGUAGGAAUACAUAUUACAGACAACUAUGACCUUUCUGUGACCCCCUUUUAAACUUUAAAUUGAAAAACAAACUUUUUUAAAUUUCAUAAAUUUAAAUUUCAAUUUAAUUUAAAAAGUUUAAUUCAAA